rnacentral:rRNA from 1 species
UACGGAGGGUGCGAGCGUUGUCCGGAAUCACUGGGCGUAAAGGGCGCGUAGGUGGCCUGUGGAAGUCUGCGGUGAAAGCCCGGCGCUCAACGCCGGGUCGGCCGUGGAUACUCUCGGGCUUGAGCUUACUAGAGGCAGAUGGAAUUCCGGGUGUAGCGGUGGAAUGCGUAGAGAUCCGGAAGAACACCGGUGGCGAAGGCGGUUAGCUGGGCAGUUGCUGACACUGAGGCGCGACAGCGUGGGGAGCAAACAGG